UAGGGAAUCUUCGGCAAUGGACGAAAGUCUGACCGAGCAACGCCGCGUGAGUGAAGAAGGUUUUCGGAUCGUAAAACUCUGUUGUUAGAGAAGAACAAGGACGUUAGUAACUGAACGUCCCCUGACGGUAUCUAACCAGAAAGCCACGGCUAACUACGUGCCAGCAGCCGCGGUAAUACGUAGGUGGCAAGCGUUGUCCGGAUUUAUUGGGCGUAAAGCGAGCGCAGGCGGUUUCUUAAGUCUGAUGUGAAAGCCCCCGGCUCAACCGGGGAAGGUCAUUGGAAACUGGGAGACUUGAGUGCAGAAGAGGAGAGUGGAAUUCCAUGUGUGGCGGUGAAAUGCGUAGAUAUAUGGAGGAACACCAGUGGCGAAGGCGGCUCUCUGGUCUGUAACUGACGCUGAGGCUCGAAAGCGUGGGGAGCAAACAGG
rnacentral:rRNA from 1 species